rnacentral:misc_RNA from 1 species
CAUAUUGAUGUCAAGAUGAAGAAGAGCUCAAUAAAAACAGCGCCAAAUGGAAGAAUGCCUCCAACGAGUAUGGAGAAGAAUGGUUUCAUGUACCAUGCUUGCUCAGGUAUUUGCCUAGGAAUUUUGUUUGUUUUCACAGGAUCUUCAAUAGCUGGCUUUUUGAAACCAAGGUAACUACCCACAAAGGCCAAAGGAACAGAUAUACCAAACCACAAGCAAACCAAAGCAAACAU